GGUUGUGUACUUUAUACCAAAAGAUCUAACUUGCACUUAGAAAUAGGACGACACCCACAACCC
rnacentral:tRNA from 1 species